rnacentral:ncRNA from 1 species
CUAAAAUAUAUUUGCCGCGGUUUUUCUUUAUUGUAAAGAAAAUUAAAAGGGAAUUAGGUGAGAAUCCUAAACUGUACCCGCAACUGUAAACUUAGUCUAUUAAAACUAUAGAUACUUGUUAUUUCUUACGCCACUGUUUUUACGGGAAGGUAGUAGCAAGAUGUUAGUCAGGAGACCUGCCAAAAUUUAAUUCAUUGC